UACGGAGGGUGCGAGCGUUGUCCGGAAUCACUGGGCGUAAAGGGCGCGUAGGCGGCGCGGAUAGUCGGCGGUGAAAGCCCGGAGCUCAACUCCGGGUCGGCCGUCGAUACUUCCGGGCUUGAGCACUGUAGAGGCAGAUGGAAUUCCGGGUGUAGCGGUGGAAUGCGUAGAGAUCCGGAAGAACACCGGUGGCGAAGGCGGUCUGCUGGGCAGUUGCUGACGCUGAUGCGCGACAGCGUGGGGAGCAAGCAG
rnacentral:rRNA from 1 species